ACAGGAUUGCAUCUACGGAAAAUACAACCGCGAAAGUCCUACCAGGACAACAUGUUUCUUCCUCCACCAUCCUCUCACAGUCAGAUCUGAUCAGGAUGUCUACUCUGUACCACCCUGACCUACCUGUUAGGGGGACAGAUUCUGAACUGGAUGAUAAUGGACACAGAUGUUCUUUCCCCUACAAAAUCACUGUCUCCAAACUAAGAGAUUCAAAGAGGCUGGAACCUACCUCUCCUGCUGACUGUGAAUGAAGACUGCAGUAUAUUCAGCUACAAGUCCAUCUGCUCUUUAACUUUUUUAAAAAAAAUCUAUCUAAAAGUGUUUUUCCUUUGAAGCUUCCAGCACCAUUUAUGAAGGCUCAAAAGGGGUAUUAUUCAUAUAUUUCAGAUGAAAAAAGCUGAACUGUCAAAGUAACAUCUGACUUGAGAAUAGCCAGUAUUCUCCAAGGCAUCAGCAAUUAAGAGGACCUGGAAAAAGAUCCUGUGCCUACCAGGAAAUUUCACUGAUCUCAUCAAGCCCCAAAACCCAGGAAGGAGAAAAAAUCUGCACAAAUGAAGAAGGGCCCAGCAGAUCAUGCUGUCUUGUUGAAAAGCCAAGUGAUGAAAAUUUUUCAUAAAAUGAUAGGUAUCUGCUUCUGCGGGAUUAUUUUUAACAGUAAAAGAGUAGAUGGUGUAACAUAAGUGAAGAGGGAUUCCAUAAAUAACUGCAUUUCAGUUACCUGUUUAGUAUCAUCUUAAUUGCUACAACAAACAGCACAAAAAGAAAAAAAAAAGAACACCUUUCUACUCAGAAGAUAAACUGCUUUUAAAAAGAAAGGAAUGAAACCCAGCUCUGUAAUUUUUAGAAUCCCAGUUCACUAAAAUGGACAAGACUGGAGAAGCAGACACCUGAGCAGCUUUGAAGACAUUUCUCUGGCAUGUUCUCACUGACUCUGAGACCUUGUUUCCAGCCAGUGUCUGCUCAUCCUAGUGCAGCACCCUUCAAACCAGCCUUCCCCAAAGGAUUCAGCAGUCAUGGUCUGAGAAAAGAGCUAAGCACAAGCUGGAACUACAGAGCUUCAGGAGGAGUCCCAGGCAAACAACGCACUUGGGUGAAGACAUCUCAACAACAGCCAGUGAGCCUUUUCUUUUGGACCUGCUCUACUCUGCCUGCAGCCUUGGUGAGGCAGAGCAUCACAGGAAGAGGAAGAUGAAUUCCUGGGAGACAAGUACUGAUGCAGAGGAAGGGGGAAGACUACACUUGAUCACCUAGGAAAGAGUGCAGGUUCCUAAGUAAAGCUGUGAGAUGACAAGAGAGAAGCACAGUUGUGUUAUUAUGUAUAGAAGGCCAGAGUUGAGAGUCUGGUUUCUUGAGGGUGAUGUCCUGGCAGGUACUCUUGUGCACAUGCUGUAGUAUAAUAUUCCAGUGCAUUCAUACAUCCAUCUACGCUGCAAAUGGCAUGGGAGUGAUAUUUUUAAAAUGAAGACGAAAUGAAACCACCCUGUUGGAGAGCUUUACAAUGCUCAGCUGUUCCCGAGGAGUGCGUUGUGUAGUUACAGCAGGCAAAACAUCCCUCCCAUCUAGUCACUGGCACACAGCACAGCAACCCAUUUAUGUGAGCACCUGGUUGAUCAGUUUGCCUGUGACAGAUCUUGGCACACCCUCUCCUCUGGCUGUAAAGCUUUACUGACUUGUGUGUUUUUUCCCCCACAAACUCUUGUCUGGCAUGGGAGGACUUGGAACAGAACAACUCUGGCUUUGGCAACAACAGGAAAGUACAUUUUAGAUAACCCUUUAUGCUGCAAGCUUUGCAGCCAUUUAAGGGCUUUUCUGUGGGGUUGGAGAGGAAGGGCUGUCCAUCAUCCAAAGUCUAUUGCUGUGGGAAGGGUGCCUGCGACUGCAAAAGCCUUUGGCAAAGGCCACGAGCAUCUGAAGGCUGCUCUGAGAAAUGGAUACGGGCUCACAGCUCCCCACAGGCUGCUGUGCAGAAGUGAGCGCUCUUCCACUGGUCAUCCCAGGGCAUCAUUCAUUAAACAUAACGCCCUACAGGAAAAUCAAGGCUUUGUGUUUUCCAUACCCCCUCCUGCAUCAGCCCUGACGUCAGUAGGUUGGAACCACGGAAGUUAAAUUAAGGCCAGUGCAGUCUAAUAGGCAAGGGAUAGCAAAUGCUAAGAAGUCAAGGUAAUGAGAAAAUACCCGCCAUCUGGAGCUGUCAUAAGCAUGAAUUUACAUCUCUCCCCACAAAAUAAAUAAAUCACAGCCUGCAAAACAUUACUCUCCCUGGAUGCAAAGUCCCACUCCUGCCACUGCCACCAAAAAUUUUGGCCUCCCCAGUUUCUGUGCGACCGGUGGCUUCUGCCGAAAGCCCCGGGGUGACGCGCCUGGGCGCAGGGAGACAUCUGCAAGCGCUGCCCGCUCAGGCGCGACGGCUGGAGCGCAGGGAUCUGCUCUGCUGCAGCCGCUCUCUCUGACGGAAAGUUUUCCUCCUGGCUCUGACAGCACCGCAGCCACUUGGGGAAGCACAUGACUUCCUUGGGAGACGGUGUUUCUUAUUUGUGUUGCAGGCCUCCAGCAGGCAUGGCACCGAGGCAAUAUUUAUAUCAGUUUUUGUAACAUCGUCGCAGCAGCUGUAAUUUCGGGAACUGAAGUGCUGGCUGGAAGUGGGAGAGAGAGGCACAAAGCACAACACGCCACACAGAAAUGUGGAUGCAAGGGGGAAAAAAAAAAAAAGGCAAGAAAAGAAAAUUGGCAACCAGCCUCCUCCCCCAGAAAGCUCAUUGUGUUCCCCGGUGCCAGGGGUGCUGCUUGCCCUCCAGAUGGUUACCACAGGGCCCAUCUGUGCAAAAGUGAGUCAAUGGCAAUUGCAGCUCAGGAUGUGUGUGAUGGGAUCAGAUCUGUCCCCUCAGGGUGCUCGCACUCCUGGGGGAGCAGGACAGGGGGAGUCCUCCAGCCAGGUGGCUUUCUGUGCAACAAGCCAAACAGUGUUCAGCAGUCUUCUCAUACCCUUCAGCUAUGAGAAAACAUAAUGCAACACUUACCUGUGUGCAGGUAACCAGGCUGCCCCCAAAACUGCUGCAGCCCCAUGCUGUGCCUUGGCUACCAACCCUAGCAAGCUCCUUAUCCCACCUACUGGUACCGUCAUGCUGCUCCUAGGUGCCAAUCUUGGAUCUCUGAUCCAUGCUCUGCAUGAGUCCUGACCUCUGUGGAGUCACCUUGCUGUGGCUGGGAAAUCUCCAGAGACGUAGGAUAGGGGUCCUGUCUUCCAAAUUAUUUACUUCCCAUGAGAGGUAUUAUCUCCUUUUCUGCCCCCUGGCUUGAUUUCCAUGGUGUUUAGCCAUUGGAGGUUUGAGAAUUCUCUGGUAUGGGGCUGGAAGUCACAGCUGCCCAAAAGACAGCAGAGUCGUCUUCAUGUGUCUCCUUGUUCCUUCAUCUGCCCUGCAGAUGCAGAGGCAAGUGACCACCCUUGGUAGGUGCCAUGUGUGCAAGAGGGGCUCUCCACUGCCCACGCAUGUUCUCAGUAGGUGGUUUCUACCUCUGCUGCCAAACAGCAGCAGCUGGCAGAACAUAGGCCUGAAUUCUUCCCUGUUCAUUGCUUUUUCUCCAUGUAACUCCACUGGCCUGUGGAGUUAUGUCUGACAGAGGAAGUGUCACACAGUCUCCAGUUACCUUAGAGCUUGGUGAAACUUGAAGUUGACAUGAAGAUAAAAAGCUCCCACAGAGUGUAGCCCCAGAGCUGUCAGGUGAUGCACAUUUCAUGAUGGGCAAGAGCUGAUGGUCAUUUGACCCAAAUAUAGCUGUGUGGUGCAAAACACCUUCAUUGUCCUGGACAGCACAAGGACUCUAGAAAAAGCUGGCUGCCAAUGAGCUCUCCAGUUCAUGUGUCCUGCAGUCCUCUAAAGGACUGCUGUGAGGACCAAGCGGGGGAGCUAUCACUGUGUCUGCUUGGGAGGACUCCUGAAAACCAGCACCCAAAGCUGCAUCACAGGCUCCCUGAGGGCAGAGACCAUCAAAGACUGGCAACAUAGUAAGCAUGGCUUCUUGGACUGUGGGCCUCAGAAAAUCCCCUCCAGUUUCCUAUUUCUUAUGCUUUUGUGCCAUAAGGACUCCUACUUUGUCUCAAAAAGAACUGAAACUUCAA